AUUGAACGCUGGCGGCGUGCCUAACACAUGCAAGUCGGAUGUGCCGCAAGGUGCAUGGCAGACGGGUGAGUAACGCGUAGGGAAUCUACCUUUUUGUGGGGAAUAACGCUCCGAAAGGAGUGGUAAUACCGCAUGAGACCGUGACCUGGGAUGGUUACGGUGAAACCUGGGGACCGCAAGGCCUGGGGCAAAAAGAGGAUCCUGCGUCUGAUUAGCUAGUUGGCGGGGUAAUGGCCCACCAAGGCGACGAUCAGUAGCCGGCCUGAGAGGGUGAUCGGCCACACUGGAACUGAGACACGGUCCAGACUCCUACGGGAGGCAGCAGUGGGGAAUUUUGCGCAAUGGACGAAAGUCUGACGCAGCAACGCCGCGUGGGUGAUGAAGGUCUUCGGACUGUAAAACCCUGUCGUCAGGGACGAAGGUGGCAGUGUUAAUAGCGCUGUUACUUGACGGUACCUGGAGAGGAAGCCCCGGGCUAACCUCUGUGCCAGCAGCCGCGGUAAU
rnacentral:rRNA from 1 species